GAUGAACGCUAGCGAUAGGCUUAACACAUGCAAGUCGAGGGGUAACAUGGGAGUAGCUUGCUACUUCUGAUGACGACCGGCGGAUGGGUGAGUAACGCGUAUGCAACUUGCCUCUUAGUGGGGAAUAACCCGGAGAAAUCCGGACUAAUACCGCAUACACUUAGUUAUCCGCAUGGAUGAUUAAGGAAAGAUUUAUUGCUAAGAGAUAGGCAUGCGUUCCAUUAGUUAGUUGGUGAGGUAACGGCUCACCAAGGCAUCGAUGGAUAGGGGAGCUGAGAGGUUGACCCCCCACAUUGACACUGAGAUACGGGUCAA
rnacentral:rRNA from 1 species